UUCUCUCUCACCUCACGUUUCCCUCACUCUACACGCCACCUAUCUACCCACUCCAUCAGUCUCUCCUAGCGAAAAUAAAAAAAAGAAAAGAAUAAGGUUUUGUCCGUUGGAGAUUGUUAUAUUUUACUCUCUCUACUGACUUCACAAAGGGACCAACAUACAUUAACUUACUCUCUCUCUCAAAGAAUAAAGAAAAGGAUUAAAAAUGGAAAAAGAGAAGAAGCCUUUGGGUCUUUCCCUGAGCGUCUCACCCUUAACCAUCACCAUUCCUCUUCUUCAAAUACUCCAUCGUCUUCCACCCUUUCACCACACUAACACCUCAUUUUCGCUUCCGCCGAAACAACCUAGAAUAACCGCCGUGAAUCGCCACCACUACAUCGCCGCAUCAUCGCUCAACCACCGUCAACUUUGAACCAUCCGCCGUCUUCCUCAUAUAUUCCGGCGCUAAAUUCCAGACCUCACCGUCGUGUCAAUAACCGAACUCCUUCACACUUAGGGGAAUCCACCUCUGUUCACCGACAUCGCCGCCGCCACGAUUUGCUCUUCUAAAUUCACCACAACCAACCGCGACGCAGAUUCUCUCUUCCCCAACAGGCGAAACCAAGCAACAAACCUUCCAACUCCGCAACGACAACAAACAACAGCAGUGACACCGCUUCGGAAUUUGAUUGGUGAAGGAUGACGAAGCUCUCUUUUAUUUCCGGAUUUUUCCUCUUGUAUCUGUUAGACAUUUGCCUGCUGAUAGUGUGAGUUUUGUGUCUAAAUUUUUCUGCAUAAUGACUACUGAUAUGGAUAGUGUGAGUCUUGUAUUUAGAUUUCUUGUCAUGAUGGAUACUGAUACCAAUACUAUGAGUUUUAUGCACUGAUAUGGAUGGUGUAAAUUUGUGUUUUAUAUAAUAUAUCAUAGUACUGGUAGUGUGAAUAUGGAUCA